rnacentral:rRNA from 1 species
AGAGUUUGAUCCUGGCUCAGGAUGAACGCUAGCGGCAGACUUAAUACAUGUGAGUCGAGGGGCAGCGGAUCCCUCCGGGGAUGCCGGCGACCGGCGAACGGGUGAGUAACACGUAUGGAACCUGCCCUUAACUGGGAAAUAGCUUUGAGAAAUCGAAGGUAAUGUCCCAUACCAUCUGAAGAAGGCAUCUUUUUCAGAUGAAAGCUCCGGCGGUUAAGGAUGGCCAUGCGGUCCAUUAGCUUGUUGGUGAGAUAACCGCUCACCAAGGCUGCGAUGGAUAGCUGAUCUGAGAGGAUGAUCAGCCACAUUGGCACUGAGACACGGGCCAAACUCCUACGGGAGGCAGCAGUAGGGAAUCUUGGUCAAUUGGCGAAAGCCAGAACCAGUCAUGCCGCGUGCAGGAUGAAGGCCCUACGGGUCGUAAACUGCUUUUAUUCGGGAAGAAAAAGUCUGUUUUCACAGACCUUGACGGUACCGAUUGAAUAAGGACCGGCCAACUCCGUGCCAGCAGCCGCGGUAAUACGGAGGGUCCAAGCGUUAUCCGGAUUCACUGGGUUUAAAGGGUGCGCAGGCGGCUAAGUAAGUCAGUGGUGAAAGCCUUCGGCUCAACCGGAGAAUUGCCAUUGAAACUACUUAGCUUGAGUGCAGUAGAGGUAGGCGGAAUGUAGCAUGUAGCGGUGAAAUGCAUAGAUAUGCUACAGAACACCGAUAG